GUUCCCUGGUCCAGGCAGCACUGACUCAGCCGGCCUCGGUGUCAGCCAACCCGGGAGAAACCGUCCAGAUCACCUGCUGGGGGAGCAGCUACAGCUAUGGCUGGUUCCAGCAGAAGAGACCCUCGGACAUCCUUUCACAUUUCUUCGGGUCCAAUUCCACCUCCACAGCCACGUUGACCAUCAUUGGGGUUCCAGCCGACGAUGAGGUUGUCUAUUACUAUGGAGGCCAGGAUAGCAGUUAG